rnacentral:rRNA from 1 species
AUACGGAGGUGGCAAGCGUUACUCGGUUUGAUUGGGUGUAAAGGGUCCGCAGGCGGCCUUAUAAGUAGAAAGUGAAAUCCUUCCGCUUAACGGAAGAACUGCUUUCUAAACUAUUUGGCUUGAGGAUGAAAGAGGAGAGCGGAACUGUUGGUGUAAGGGUGAAAUCUGUGGAUAUCAACAGGAACGUCCGUGACGAAGGUGGCUCUCUGGUUCAUUCCUGACGCUCAGGGACGAAAGCUAGGGGAGCAAACAGGAUUAGAAACCCUAGUAGUCC